rnacentral:rRNA from 1 species
GACGUGCUAAUCUGCGAUAAGCGUCGGUAAGGUGAUAUGAACCGUUAUAACCGGCGAUUUCCGAAUGGGGAAACCCAGUGUGAUUCGUCACACUAUCAUUAACUGAAUCCAUAGGUUAAUGAGGCGAACCGGGGGAACUGAAACAUCUAAGUACCCCGAGGAAAAGAAAUCAACCGAGAUUCCCCCAGUAGCGGCGAGCGAACGGGGAGCAGCCCAGAGCCUGAAUCAGUGUGUGUGUUAGUGGAAGCGUCUGGAAAGGCGCGCGAUACAGGGUGACAGCCCCGUACACAAAAAUGCACAUACUGUGAGCUCGAUGAGUAGGGCGGGACACGUGGUAUCCUGUCUGAAUAUGGGGGGACCAUCCUCCAAGGCUAAAUACUCCUGACUGACCGAUAGUGAACCAGUACCGUGAGGGAAAGGCGAAAAGAACCCCGGCGAGGGGAGUGAAAAAGAACCUGAAACCGUGUACGUACAAGCAGUGGGAGCACGCUUAGGCGUGUGACUGCGUACCUUUUGUAUAAUGGGUCAGCGACUUAUAUUCUGUAGCAAGGUUAACCGAAUAGGGGAGCCGAAGGGAAACCGAGUCUUAACUGGGCGUUAAGUUGCAGGGUAUAGACCCGAAACCCGGUGAUCUAGCCAUGGGCAGGUUGAAGGUUGGGUAACACUAACUGGAGGACCGAACCGACUAAUGUUGAAAAAUUAGCGGAUGACUUGUGGCUGGGGGUGAAAGGCCAAUCAAACCGGGAGAUAGCUGGUUCUCCCCGAAAGCUAUUUAGGUAGCGCCUCGUGAAUUCAUCUCCGGGGGUAGAGCACUGUUUCGGCAAGGGGGUCAUCCCGACUUACCAACCCGAUGCAAACUGCGAAUACCGGAGAAUGUUAUCACGGGAGACACACGGCGGGUGCUAACGUCCGUCGUGAAGAGGGAAACAACCCAGACCGCCAGCUAAGGUCCCAAAGUCAUGGUUAAGUGGGAAACGAUGUGGGAAGGCCCAGACAGCCAGGAUGUUGGCUUAGAAGCAGCCAUCAUUUAAAGAAAGCGUAAUAGCUCACUGGUCGAGUCGGCCUGCGCGGAAGAUGUAACGGGGCUAAACCAUGCACCGAAGCUGCGGCAGCGACGCUGAUGCGUUGUUGGGUAGGGGAGCGUUCUGUAAGCCUGUGAAGGUGUGCUGUGAGGCAUGCUGGAGGUAUCAGAAGUGCGAAUGCUGACAUAAGUAACGAUAAAGCGGGUGAAAAGCCCGCUCGCCGGAAGACCAAGGGUUCCUGUCCAACGUUAAUCGGGGCAGGGUGAGUCGACCCCUAAGGCGAGGCCGAAAGGCGUAGUCGAUGGGAAACAGGUUAAUAUUCCUGUACUUGGUGUUACUGCGAAGGGGGGACGGAGAAGGCUAUGUUGGCCGGGCGACGGUUGUCCCGGUUUAAGCGUGUAGGCUGGUUUUCCAGGCAAAUCCGGAAAAUCAAGGCUGAGGCGUGAUGACGAGGCACUACGGUGCUGAAGCAACAAAUGCCCUGCUUCCAGGAAAAGCCUCUAAGCAUCAGGUAACAUCAAAUCGUACCCCAAACCGACACAGGUGGUCAGGUAGAGAAUACCAAGGCGCUUGAGAGAACUCGGGUGAAGGAACUAGGCAAAAUGGUGCCGUAACUUCGGGAGAAGG